AUUCUCCUAAUUUUAGAUUAUCCGAUAAAAUUGGAACUAAACAAAGAAGAUUAGCAUGGCCCCUGCGCAAGGAUAAAUCGAGAAAUGGUUUAGAUUACA